CCGUGGCGUAGUUUUUUUCUGCGGUGUGAUGAAUAUUCCCGGCGGAGGGUCGGUGGUGAAGACAGCGAGGCCGUGCCUGAUACGGAGCACAGUGGACGGUGGUCUAUAGGUCGUGCUUGAAGGUUGCGGGUAUCACGGAGUUUCCGGAAGAUGCUCCUUGAACAGCCAUCCAUCGCAGCCUUAUUGCAGAAGUACAUUAUGCAGUGUGGCCGUGUACAUCAGUACUCAAGGUGUCACGGACCUGACGCACGAGAACAAGUGCUUCCUGAAAGAUUCUGGAGGUAGUGCACAGCCUCGCCAACAAAAAAAGAAGAAGAAGAAGCUUCAUUAAAGAAUGUCG